AGAACGAACGCUGGCGGCAGGCCUCAAACAUGCAAGUCUAGGGGGUGUAGCAAUACAUCACCGGCGGACGGGUGCGUAACACGUGGGAAUAUACCUUUUGGUUCGGAACAACGCAGGGAAACUUGCGCUAAUACCGAAUGUGCCCUUACGGGGAAAGAUUUAUCGCCAAAGGAUUAGCCCGCGUCCGAUUAGCUAGUUGGUGAGGUAAUGGCUCACCAAGGCUCCGAUCGGUAGCUGUUCUGAGAGGAAGAUCAGCCACACUGGGACUGAGACACGGCCCAGACUCCUACGGGAGGCAGCAGUUGGGAAUCUUGGACAAUGGGGGAACCCUGAUCCAGCCAUGCCGCGUGAGUGAUGAAGGCCUUCGGGUUGUAAAACUCUUUCGACGGGACGAUAAUGACGGUACCCGUAGAAGAAGCUCCGGCUAACUUCGUGCCAGCAGCCGC
rnacentral:rRNA from 1 species